rnacentral:rRNA from 1 species
CAAUAAGCGGAGGAAAAGAAACUAACAAGGAUUCCCCUAGUAGCGGCGAGCGAAGCGGGAAG